AUCUAGCUGGUUCAGCCAGUAGAGCAUGAGACUCUUUAUCUCAGGGUCAUGAGUUCGAGCCCCAUGCCAUGUG
rnacentral:tRNA from 1 species